rnacentral:tRNA from 1 species
GCGCCCGUAGCUCAGCUGGAUGGAGUACCGGAUUCCGGUUCCGGGGGCCGCAGGUUCGAAUCCUGCCGGGCGCGCCA